rnacentral:lncRNA from 1 species
UCAAAAAUUAAAAUGACCAAAAUAACAUUUUAUCUUUUAAAAAAAUUAUUAUUAUUUUUUUUUCAAAAUUCGAAAUCUUAUCCCAAAACCUCAUUCCCCAACUCUAAACCUUAAAACCUAAACUCUAAACCUUAAACCCUAAACUCUAAACUCUAAACCCUAAAUCCUAAAUCCUAAACUCUAAACCCUAAAUCCUAAACCCACCCCUUAAAUCUAAACCCUAAACCCCACUCCCCAACUCUAAACCCUAAACUCUAAACCCUAAACCCUAAACCCUAAACCCCACCCCUUAACUCUAAACCCUAA